rnacentral:rRNA from 2 species
GGUUAAGCGACUAAGCGUACACGGUGGAUGCCCUGGCAGUCAGAGGCGAUGAAGGGCGUGCUAAUCUGCGAUAAGCGCCGGUAAGGUGAUAUGAACCGUUAUAACCGGCGAUACCCGAAUGGGGAAACCCAGUGUGACUCGUCACACUAUCAUUAACUGAAUCCAUAGGUUAAUGAGGCGAACCGGGGGAACUGAAACAUCUAAGUACCCCGAGGAAAAGAAAUCAACCGAGAUUCCCCCAGUAGCGGC